CACUAUCGUUAACUGAAUACAUAGGUUAACGAGGCGAACCGGGGGAACUGAAACAUCUAAGUACCCCGAGGAAAAGAAAUCAACCGAGAUUCCCCCAGUAGCGGCGAGCGAACGGGGAGCAGCCCAGAGUCUGAAUCAGCUUGUGUGUUAGUGGAACGGUCUGGAAAGUCCGACGGUACAGGGUGAUAGUCCCGUACACCAAAAUGCACAGGCUGUGAACUCGAAGAGUAGGGCGGGACACGUGGUAUCCUGUCUGAAUAUGGGGGGACCAUCCUCCAAGGCUAAAUACUCCUGACUGACCGAUAGUGAACCAGUACCGUGAGGGAAAGGCGAAAAGAACCCCGGCGAGGGGAGUGAAAAAGAACCUGAAACCGUGUACGUACAAGCAGUGGGAGCACCUUCGGGUGUGACUGCGUACCUUUUGUAUAAUGGGUCAGCGACUUAUAUUCUGUAGCAAGGUUAACCGUAUAGGGGAGCCGCAGGGAAACCGAGUCUUAACUGGGCGUUAAGUUGCAGGGUAUAGACCCGAAACCCGGUGAUCUAGCCAUGGGCAGGUUGAAGGUUGGGUAACACUAACUGGAGGACCGAACCGACUAAUGUUGAAAAAUUAGCGGAUGACUUGUGGCUGGGGGUGAAAGGCCAAUCAAACCGGGAGAUAGCUGGUUCUCCCCGAAAGCUAUUUAGGUAGCGCCUCGUGAACUCAUCUUCGGGGGUAGAGCACUGUUUCGGCUAGGGGGUCAUCCCGACUUACCAACCCGAUGCAAACUACGAAUACCGAAGAAUGUUAUCACGGGAGACACACGGCGGGUGCUAACGUCCGUCGUGAAGAGGGAAACAACCCAGACCGCCAGCUAAGGUCCCAAAGUCAUGGUUAAGUGGGAAACGAUGUGGGAAGGCACAGACAGCCAGGAUGUUGGCUUAGAAGCAGCCAUCAUUUAAAGAAAGCGUAAUAGCUCACUGGUCGAGUCGGCCUGCGCGGAAGAUGUAACGGGGCUAAACCAUGCACCGAAGCUGCGGCAGCGACACUAUGUGUUGUUGGGUAGGGGAGCGUUCUGUAAGCCUGCGAAGGUGUGCUGUGAGGCAUGCUGGAGGUAUCAGAAGUGCGAAUGCUGACAUAAGUAACGAUAAAGCGGGUGAAAAGCCCGCUCGCCGGAAGACCAAGGGUUCCUGUCCAACGUUAAUCGGGGCAGGGUGAGUCGACCCCUAAGGCGAGGCCGAAAGGCGUAGUCGAUGGGAAACAGGUUAAUAUUCCUGUACUUGGUGUUACUGCGAAGGGGGGACGGAGAAGGCUAUGUUAGCCGGGCGACGGUUGUCCCGGUUUAAGCAUGUAGGCUGGUUAUCCAGGCAAAUCCGGAUAAUCAAGGCUGAGGUGUGAUGACGAGGCACUACGGUGCUGAAGUAACAAAUGCCCUGCUUCCAGGAAAAGCCUCUAAGCAUCAGGUAACAUCAAAUCGUACCCCAAACCGACACAGGUGGUCAGGUAGAGAAUACCAAGGCGCUUGAGAGAACUCGGGUGAAGGAACUAGGCAAAAUGGUGCCGUAACUUCGGGAGAAGGCACGCUGGUGUGUAGGUGAAGCCCCUGCGGGUGGAGCUGAGACCAGUCGAAGAUACCAGCUGGCUGCAACUGUUUAUUAAAAACACAGCACUGUGCAAACACGAAAGUGGACGUAUACGGUGUGACGCCUGCCCGGUGCCGGAAGGUUAAUUGAUGGGGUUAUCCGUAAGGAGAAGCUCUUGAUCGAAGCCCCGGUAAACGGCGGCCGUAACUAUAACGGUCCUAAGGUAGCGAAAUUCCUUGUCGGGUAAGUUCCGACCUGCACGAAUGGCGUAAUGAUGGCCAGGCUGUCUCCACCCGAGACUCAGUGAAAUUGAACUCGCUGUGAAGAUGCAGUGUACCCGCGGCAAGACGGAAAGACCCCGUGAACCUUUACUAUAGCUUGACACUGAACAUUGAGCCUUGAUGUGUAGGAUAGGUGGGAGGCUUUGAAGCGUGGACGCCAGUCUGCGUGGAGCCAACCUUGAAAUACCACCCUUUAAUGUUUGAUGUUCUAACGUUGGCCCCUUACCGGGGUUGCGGACAGUGUCUGGUGGGUAGUUUGACUGGGGCGGUCUCCUCCCAAAGCGUAACGGAGGAGCACGAAGGUUAGCUAAUCCUGGUCGGACAUCAGGAGGUUAGUGCAAUGGCAUAAGCUAGCUUGACUGCGAGCGUGACGGCGCGAGCAGGUGCGAAAGCAGGUCAUAGUGAUCCGGUGGUUCUGAAUGGAAGGGCCAUCGCUCAACGGAUAAAAGGUACUCCGGGGAUAACAGGCUGAUACCGCCCAAGAGUUCAUAUCGACGGCGGUGUUUGGCACCUCGAUGUCGGCUCAUCACAUCCUGGGGCUGAAGUAGGUCCCAAGGGUAUGGCUGUUCGCCAUUUAAAGUGGUACGCGAGCUGGGUUUAGAACGUCGUGAGACAGUUCGGUCCCUAUCUGCCGUGGGCGCUGGAGAAUUGAGGGGGGCUGCUCCUAGUACGAGAGGACCGGAGUGGACGCAUCACUGGUGUUCGGGUUGUCAUGCCAAUGGCACUGCCCGGUAGCUAAAUGCGGAAGAGAUAAGUGCUGAAAGCAUCUAAGCACGAAACUUGCCCCGAGAUGAGUUCUCCCUGAGACUUUAAGUCUCCUGAAGGAACGUU
rnacentral:rRNA from 1 species